AAUCUCUUGUCAUCGAUAUUUAAGCAUUCGAGUAAAUUUAGGCGCACAAUAAGCAUCGAUUAUUCUUUCCCUUCUCAGAAAUUAUAGCAAUCGAAAAAUUCGUAGUCGCGGCAAUUGCGAAGAAAAUGGUAUGUCAAAAGGUUAACUUAACUAAUUGCGCUCGAUUUUCUUUUAUCAGUUUAAUCGAAAUCAGAGCACAGAAUUCGAGAUUAGAAAAUAUUAGGGACGUUGAUCGUGACACAUCGAUUGCGGCGUUAGUCAUAAUACCGGACGUAAUGAAACCGAUGAACCGACGACCUGGUGCAUCAUUUUUCUAGGAAAAAUGAUUGCGCGAGCAAAUGUUUAUUAACAAUGUCUGGGCACCUUGAACCCGGUCGGAACCCAGUCGACGAACUGAAUGGACUUUUUCCCUUUCAGAGACGCGAUCGCGCUGUUGACAUCGCUUGGACUGACUUCGCCACGGUAGAGAAGACAGCAGCUGGUGUAAGCACCGGUCCGCGGAUCGCAUUUUAUCAUCUGCAAUUUCAUCGAUCGAGCAAAGAUAGUAAGGAGCGUGGUAUCCGAGAUCACGGGAGCCGACAACUGCAAUGGAAAUUGAUUAGCACCUGAUUAGAGGGCUCGAAACAGUCCUGAGUGAUCUCCUGCGUGGUAAUUUCCGAAUGGAAGGCUCUCCUAGGAUUGAUCAAUGGAGCGCACGUGGAAAGACAAUAGUGAAUCCGAGGGAAUGGCACCAGGUUCGUCUGCAUCUCGUUCAGAUUCAAGUUCACGGAGCCUUGGAACCUAAUCGAGGCCGUCAUGCUGGAGAUCACUUGAGCUAGAAUCCUGUUCAGAUGCUGUACAGAGCCUCGUUAUCGGCGAGGAAACAGCAGUCCACGUGAUCCACGCUAACAUGCGUUGCUAAAACAGCGUUGUAAGGCUCGACGAUGACGGAUGACAAAUUCGGAGCGGGGCAGAUCGUGAAGUCAACUGUGACGUGCUUCGGGAAAUCGCAUGUCAGGCGUUCUAAGAGCAUACUGCCGAAUCCGCCGCCGGUUCCGCCGCUCAGCGACCUUGGAAAAUAUGAGAAAUCUGUAUCCUGUUCACGGGUGUCAUGGAAGAUUCGAUUAAAUAAGGGAAGGAAAAGAAACCGAGCGAUACGGUUGCGCAACGUUUUACGUCGACGUGAAGUCGAAAAGGGGCAUCUCGAGAGGUGUCAGCGGCGGCAGAGGCGCGAGGCGCAUCGAAUGUGCAUUAUCUAAUCUGGCGUCGUCGUUGGGAUUGACGGACACGGUCUUCAGUUGCUCGGUCAGUUGCCGGACCUCCUCCUCUUUGGUUUCCAACUGACUCAGCAAACUUCCAACCAGACAGCGUAAUUGGUAAUUAACGGUUUUCAGCUCCUCGAUGAUCGUGAUAGCGUCUUUCGGGUACUUAAAACCCUCCCCUUCGUCAUCUGGUAAUGAGAUCAAAGUCAGCAGGCUGUCCUGCUCUUCGAUGGUCCUGUAUAUGGCCUGGCGCAGAGAUCCGUCGCAUUUAU